rnacentral:rRNA from 1 species
GCAAGUCGUGGGGCAGCAUGGUCUUAGCUUGCUAAGACUGAUGGCGACCGGCGCACGGGUGAGUAACGCGUAUCCAACCUUCCCCUUAGUAGGGUAUAGCCCGGCGAAAGUCGGAUUAAUCCCCUAUGUUGUUUGAAGCGGACAUCUAAUUCAAACCAAAGAUUCAUCGCUAUGGGAUGGGGAUGCGUCUGAUUAGGUUGCAGGCGGGGUAACGGCCCACCUGGCCGACGAUCAGUAGGGGUUCUGAGAGGAAGGUCCCCCACACUGGUACUGAGACACGGACCAGACUCCUACGGGAGGCAGCAGUGAGGAAUAUUGGUCAAUGGGCGCGAGCCUGAACCAGCCAAGUAGCGUGCAGGAUGACGGCCCUACGGGUUGUAAACUGCUUUUAUGCGGGGAUAAAGUGCGGCACGUGUGCCGUUUUGCAGGUACCGCAUGAAUAAGGACCGGCUAAUUCCGUGCCAGCAGCCGCGGUAAUACGGAAGGUCCGGGCGUUAUCCGGAUUUAUUGGGUUUAAAGGGAGCGCAGGCGGAGAGCUAAGCGUGACGUGAAAUGUAGCCGCCCAACGGCUGACGUGCGUCGCGAACUGGUUUUCUUGAGUGGGUACGACGUCGGCGGAACUCGUGGUGUAGCGGUGAAAUGCUUAGAUAUCACGAGGAACCCCGAUUGCGAAGGCAGCCGACGAGUCCCUUACUGACGCUAAAGCUCGAAGGUGCGGGUAUCGAACAGGAUUAGAUACCCUGGUAGUCCGCACGGUAAACGAUGGAUGCCCGCUGUUGGCGACACACUGUCAGCGGCCAAGCGAAAGCGUUAAGCAUCCCACCUGGGGAGUACGCCGGCAACGGUGAAACUCAAAGGAAUUGACGGGGGCCCGCACAAGCGGAGGAACAUGUGGUUUAAUUCGAUGAUACGCGAGGAACCUUACCCGGGCUUGAACUGCCGGCGAACGAUUCAGAGAUGAUGAGGCCCUUCGGGCGCCGGUGAGUGCUGCAUGGUUGUCGUCAGCUCGUGCCGUGAGGUGUCGGCUUAAGUGCCAUAACGAGCGCAACCCUCUCGUAGUGGCAUCGGGUUAAGCGGGCACUCUGCGACCUGCACCGCAAGGUGUGAGGAGUGGAUGACGUCAAUCAGCACGCUACGUCGGGCUACACUGUUACAUGGGGAGUACAGAAGCGUCGCGCACGCCGAUCCAUCCUAAGCUCUCUAUCGAUGGUGCACCGACCCAUAAGACUGGAUUCCGU